UUAUAAUGGCAUGCAGGGACGUAAACAGUGGCGAAGAGACAGCCCGAGAAAUCCUUCAAGAGACUGGCGCUGACAGAAAACUUGUUCUUGUCAAAGAGCUGGAUCUUGCCUCGAUUGCAUCUAUACACAAUUUCUGCCAGGGGAUAAUAGAGGUAUAAAAUGGCAGCCUGUCAUAUUUUGAUUAUAACGAAUACAAAUGAAUUUAUUCUCAUUCUCACUAGUAACAUUGGUGAAAUUCAUUCUAACGGUAAAAAUCGUCCAAUCCAUUUAACUGGCGCGGGGUGGGGGGAGCGAUCAUUCGAUUGAAAUCGUUAUUAUUUAUUUAUUUAUUUUAUUGUUUUUAAAUGUAUUUAGUAAACAUUUAAAAUGUAUAUAUGAACUAUUUUCCUUAUUUUAUUGGCAAAUUUAAAAGUAUUCUCUAUGUUUGUCUUCUAACUCAGGGGUCCCCAUCUGCUGGGCCGCGGACCGGUACCGGUCCGUGAUGCGUUUGCUACCGGGCCGCAUAAAAAUAAUAAUUUAAUAACGACUGCAUUCUGGCUGAAUUAACCCUGUGCCCCUGCUUAACACACCAAUAUCCCUGUUUACUCUAGAUAUAAUACUACAGGAUAGAUUAGAAUGUCGUCAUAGAAAUCCAUUGAUUGGACUGCUAUUAGUACAUCUUGUUCGUGUAUAUAAUAUAUCUAUGUGCGCUUGUCCUUGAUAAUAACAUAUUGCUAGGCCGCGGGCGCAGCACAUUUGUUCCCGGAAAUAAUUAGCCCCCACACGAGGGAAAAUGACUGGAAAACAGAAGUCUUUGGAGAUAUUUUUACGGCGAAAAGGGCACCUGACGAGCUACAACCUCGAAGACCCACGAACUGCGAAGGAGUGGAUUCGUGACCCGUUUGUGAAUAAACCGAGUGAUUCGAGCAUGUCUGUGCAAAAGAAAAAUCAACUUGUAGAGAUCGCAAAUGACGGCGACCUUAUUAAACCUACAUUUGAGACAACAACUCUACCGAGGUUCUGGAUUGAAGUCGUUCUGGAAUAUCCUGACAUCGCUACAAGAGCAUUGAAAACGUUGCUACAAUUUCCAACAUCGUAUCUUUGUGAAGCGGGCUUGUUAAUUAAUGUUUAACGACAAGGCGAAGUCGUUAAUGGUGAGAGCGGUGUGCUGUUGUUGUGUGCAGCUUACAUGGCAGGAUGUAUCUGAGGAGACCUUUUCUACAAGUCUUUCCAUGAUCAAACGAGGAACCUCGUUUAGAUGUGCUGAUAAAUAACGCUGGGGUCUAUCAAUGUCCUUACACCAAAACUGAGGACGGCUUUGAGAUGCAGUUCGGGGUCAACCAUUUGGGCCAUUUCCUGCUCACUCACCUGUUGCUGGACCUUUUGA